AAGUCGUAACAAGGUUUCCGUAGGUGAACCUGCGGAAGGAUCAUUAACACGUAUCCAAACGUAAAAAACCCCCCCCGUGAACAUUCAAUCCUGCUCUUGUAACCCGCGUAGUUCGCAAUCUCUGGUAAAUCAUAGCCCGGAAAGUAGUUUUGAUUCAGAGACCUCUGGCUACGUGAGAACAUUGGAACAGUUACAAUCGAGCGGUAGUUUCAUAGGCAUUGUUUCCCCAAGCAGUCAGUGUCUGAAAGUGUCCCUGAUUGUGCAAGGAUAGCGCUUCAACGAUUCCUGUAGACUAGGGUAAAAAAACCGAACAACUGUUAACAAUGGAUAUCUUGGUUCUC
rnacentral:misc_RNA from 1 species